AAGAAAGUCGUGGUGGUCACGUGGUUGACUUGAAAUCAAUUAGUGGGGGUUCAAUUCCUUCCUUUCUUG
rnacentral:tRNA from 1 species